AUGACGACCGGGGCCGUCACGGAGAGCUUCCCGGAGAGCAGCGAGCCGCUGCUCCCGACGAAGCGGCGAUGGGAGGGGGAGGACGGCGGCGACGACGAGGCCGCCUUCCACGAGUUCAACGGCGCCUCCUUUGCCGGCGCUGUGUUCAACCUGUCCACCACCAUCGUCGGCGCCGGCAUCAUGGCGCUGCCGGCGACCAUGAAGGUGCUCGGCCUCCUCCCCGGCCUGGUCAUGAUCGUGCUCGCCGCCUUCCUCACCGACGCCUCCGUCGAGCUGCUCAUGCGGUUCAGCGGCGUCGUCGGCGCGCCGUCCUACGGCGCCGUCAUGGGGGACGCCUUCGGGUGGUGGGGAAGGAGGCUGCUCCAGGUCUGCGUCGUGGUCAACAACGUCGGGGUCAUGAUCGUGUACAUGAUUAUUAUAGGUGAUGUGCUUUCUGGAACGUCCUCUGGUGGUGAGCACCACUAUGGUGUAUUAGAAGGAUGGUUUGGCACACACUGGUGGAAUGGGCGAUUCUUUGUUCUCCUGGUUACUACUCUCGGUGUAUUUACUCCACUAGCGUGUUUCAAGCGUGUCGAUUCACUGAGCUAUACAUCUGCCAUAUCUGUUGCUUUGGCAGUUGUAUUCGUUGUUAUCACUGCCGGAAUUGCUAUUGUGAAAUUGAUACGAGGACAAAUUCCGAUGCCCAAAUUGUUCCCUGCAGUUCCUGAUUUGGCAUCUGUCUGGGAACUUUUCACAGCAGUGCCAGUUCUUGUCACUGCUUAUGUUUGCCAUUAUAACGUUCACCCAAUCCAUAAUGAACUGAAGGAGUCUUCCCAGAUCAAGCCAAUAGUGCACACAUCACUGGCUCUAUGCUCAACUGUUUAUAUCACAACAAGUUUCUUUGGAUAUCUUCUGUUUGGUGAAUCUACACUCGCUGAUGUGCUCGCUAACUUUGAUUCAAACCUCGGCAUUCCAUAUAGUUCAGUUCUUAGUGAUGCUGUCAGAGUCAGCUAUGCUAUCCACCUUAUGCUCGUGUUCCCCAUGAUAUUCCACGCACUGCGGCUUAAUUUGGAUGGGCUUCUCUUUUCCUCUGCAAUGCCCUUAUCUUCUGAUAACAGAAGGUUUGGUGUAAUGACAGCGGUGCUCCUCCUUGUGAUUUUCAUAUCCGCAAACUUCAUUCCUAGCAUCUGGGAUGCCUUCCAGUUUACCGGGGCUACUGCUGCUGUUUGUAUUGCCUUCAUUUUCCCAGCUGCAAUCACUUUAAGGGAUCCGCACAGCAUAGCGAAAAAGUGGGACAAGAUUCUGGCCAUCUUCAUGAUUGUUCUUGCAGUCACUUCGAACGUAGUAGCAGUGUACAGUGAUGCAUAUUCGAUAUUCCAUAAGAAAAGUGCCUCCUCCAAUGCCUGA
rnacentral:rRNA from 1 species